AGGACAGAAAACUUUUCUUUGUCACAGUUUGAUGAGUUGAAUCUUUUUUAUUUAAAUGUCUACCUACAGAUACCAGGUAAUCUCUAAGGUUCCUAGUUGAAUGCCUUUAGGUGAGGCAAACUCCUAAGAGCACUUCCCAAAUCCUGGGUCAUUUUUAAUCAUCUUCUGAAAUCUCUCAAGUAAUUCCAAUCUUUCUUAACAGCAAGACACCAAACCCACAGGUUUUUACCGAUAUGAUGUGGAAUAAUUACUUUGCUGCUUAACUUUUUAGGCAUUCAAGGAAUGGUCUACCCUUCUUUGUGACAGCAUUAUGCUGAGAGCUCACACUAAGAUGAUCUUCUAUGAUGACUCUAAAUCCAUUAGGUCACUGCUUUCCAGGACAGAGCCUCAUUAUUCUGCAGCAGAGACAGAUAUGUUUCUCUGGUGCCAGAUAUAUUUCAUUUGUUUCAGAUAUACUUCAUCUGGUUAUAAUAAAGUGCAUUUUACUGGAAUGCAGCCAUUAUACCAGGGGAUUCAUAUAAUUUAAUAACUUCAACUUGUCCUUCCCACCAAUUAUCCAAACCUAUCAGACCCUAAUGAGCCCCAUUCACCUACAUCUUCCCAUUAGAAAAACUAGUUUUUGAUUCCUCAGUGAGCCAGCCUUUAAUUUAUCUAAUGCGUGCCCUGAUAAUUCUCUACACCCUUUUUUAAAUUACAGUGUCAUUUUUUAUUGUGUUAAAUGUAUUUGGGAAUCCAAAUUUACCAUAAUAAUGUAAGUUGCAGAAAAUGAAAUCCUUUGGUUUGCAAUCCUUUGGUUUGCAAGUUAUAGUGAAAACAGCUUUCUGCACCGAAACAAAUUUUGAGAAUUUUUUUCCUCGCUGCAAUGGAAAAUUCCUGCCUUCUCCCAAAUAUUUAGUUCAAUGUGAACUUUUGAAAGAUGAAACCAAGUAUUAGUCAGUAGAAAAAAAGUGACAUGAGCUAAAGCCUUAAAAAUAAUAUAAGGAGAUAGAUAAUGGCAGCUUUGGAUUUAAGUGCAUCCAUUCAAAAAAUGGAUCUGGAGUCUUGUUCCAACUUUCCUUAGCUAUAUUUGAACUUUCCCCUCACCAUCCAACAGUCAUCUAACUUGUGGUAGAAAUAAUGUCAAUUUCCUUUGUUUCACUUUUGUUUCACUAUCUAGAAAUAAUUAAAUCCAAGUGGGCAAGUUUCCAUGCUUGAAAAUCAUUUUCUCUCAUUUUCAGUCUCAAAUAGCAGUUAUAUGAAAUGCUGCAGCUUCAGCUAUGGGUGUUACAAGACAUCAAGCGAAGACCAUCCAAUAGGCUUGGAGAAUUUUUGUUUACAGGAACGCUAUUCUUACUGGUAUCCCAUUUCUGAAGUGGACAUAGAACUGUCUCAAGCUAAAUACCUAGCUAAGCCAUUGGUAGGGAGAAUGAGAGACAACAGAUCUUCUUUAACAUAUGUAAGGACACACUGGAGAAAUAUGGAAAAUUACUCAUACCCCAGGCAGACAAAAAUCACAUGAGGUUUUAACCUUAGAAACCUUAUGCGGGAUGGGGAGAUACAACUUUCUUACUCCAGUAUGUAUUACUACUUUUGAAGUAUUAAAUGAAAGAAAGAUACCAGUAAGUUUCUCCACAAGAUUCAUAACUCUGAACUUGUCCCAGAAGUUCAACCCAGAUUUACUUUCGGAACAAAAAAAAAAAA
ensembl:lncRNA